rnacentral:rRNA from 1 species
UACAGAGGGUGCAAACGUUGCUCGGAAUUAUUGGGCGUAAAGGGUGCGUAGGCGGCGCGGUAAGUCGGGUGUGAAAUCUUGGAGCUUAACUCCGAAACUGCAUUCGAUACUGCCGUGCUUGAGGACUGGAGAGGAGACUGGAAUUUACGGUGUAGCGGUGAAAUGCGUAGAUAUCGUAAGGAAGACCAGUGGCGAAGGCGGGUCUCUGGACAGUUCCUGACGCUGAAGCACGAAGGCCAGGGGAGCAAACGGG